rnacentral:rRNA from 1 species
AGAGAGGGGGGCAUUGGUUUCAGGGAUAUGAAGCUGUUUAACCAAGCCCUGCUUGCAAGGCAAGCUUGGAGGUUGAUCCAAAGACCAGAAAGCAUGUGUGCAAUGGUUCUGAAAUCCAAAUACUACCCGAAUGGGGAUCUAUUAGACACGGUGUUCGCCUCAGAUGCAUCACCGGGGUGGAGAGGAAUCGAAUACGGGCUCGAGCUGCUCAAAGAGGGCCUUAUAUGGAGGAUUGGGAAUGGGAGGAAGAUCAACAUUCAACGUGACAAAUGGAUCCCAAGGAAGGAAGGUCUCAAAGCCACAAAGUUCAUUCGAAACUGCAGACUAAGAUGGGUUAACCAGCUGCUUUUGCCAGAAGGGAGUGAUGGAACACAGAAUUAG